rnacentral:rRNA from 1 species
GCUUACGGCCAUACCAGCCUGGGUACGCCCGAUCUCGUCUGAUCUCGGAAGCUAAGCAGGGUCGGGUCUGGUUAGUACUUGGAUGGGAGAGUGCCUGGGAAUACCAGGUGCUGUAAGCA